rnacentral:lncRNA from 1 species
UUCUUGAAUUUUCCAUUGUCGUUGCCAUCAUCAUCUUCUUUGGCUUUGCCCUUGUCUUUUGCUUCAGAAGGUUCUGGCAGAUCUUUCAUGACUCUGCGAAGGCUAUAGCAGUCCAUGGCAGAGUUCUUGGAUUGUGGGUGCCACGGGCACUACUUUUUUAGGAGCUCCUUGAACGGAGUCCUUUCUUGAUUUCCACCGCUUUUCUUUGAGGACUAGGACAUCGUCGCGAUAGUAUUGUCUAGCUUCCUCUUGCGAUUUUGACCACUCGGUAGUUGCCUCGGUUGUCAUUGAGAUGAUCGUUGCGGUUCUUAUUGUUGCAAUGGCCAUUACUUUAGCUGUUGUUGUUGUUCUG